GACUGGAGGGUGACUGGAACUUUUUAAGCAUUUUGAGUAUUGCAAUCUUAAUAACUAUGAACAUGACAGCCUCCACAUUUGUACAUGCAGGCCUAUCCGUCUGUGUAUCUAAGUAAGUAUACUCCAAAUCUGUGGAGGGGAACCUCGACCAUGAAGGCGUGCCCAGGGAAGAGAGAUAGAGAGCCCCAGUCUACAUAGAGUGCUGCUGCAACACAAUCUCUCAUCUAUGGGCGUGCCAAGAGAAACGCAAACGCACAAAGCAUCAUCCCAAUCGCGACAAGAAUCAGAACUACCGAAAGUUUUACAGCGUCCUCCACACUUUGCGAAAUUAUGCGAAAUUUAUUAUAAUACUGGAAACAUUUCUGACCUCGAUGUUCGCCAAUUGGGUUCACCAAUUUUUGCAAAAUUGAGGUAGCCUUCGCGCCCAGAUUUACUGCGGCGGAAAUGAAAAACAUAAAGAUUCGGACGCCUUCGUACAUAACAAAGUUGUAAGUUGGCCAUAGUAGCAAGACGAUAAAAAUAAUUUGAAACAUUUCCCAGAAGUAAAAAGUGCUUUAAGAAGAAAGUGAAUUUUUCAAAAGACAUUAAAUAGGUACAUGAAAAUGUGAUAGAGAGGGUCGGUGCCAUUGGAGAAAACGGGUAAUCGGAGGCGAGAAGUAUACGAUAAUAAUUUCUGUUUUCCGAAUUGACGCUCACGGCAACGAUUUCACAAACGUUCGUGAUUUCACAAAGACUCAAUUUUAUCAUGACUCCAGCCAAGCCAGAAGAAGGACGUUCUCACUCUCUGCUCGCUCUUUCCACUUUCCUCGUCAACAUCAUCCUAGAGCUUUUUUCUGGUUUUGAAAUCCCCAAAAAUAAUUUAAAAUUCUGACAAAAUGUUGAGAACUUGUUGUUUCGGACGCUGCACGGUGGGACGUGGAACGCUCACGAUUGGAAUUCUUCAUAUCGUCUGCUCCAUCCUCUCCGUGAUCCUGUUUUCUAUUGGGGUCCAUUUGAUAAUCAACUGCCCCGACUAAAUCGUGGGAGCUCACAUUUGUCAAAAUCCCAUUCGCUACUUAAGCUUCUGUUGUAUCAUGAUAUUCGUGGCGGUCGUGUACCUGAUCUUAUCGUGCCUCAUGGUGGAUGGAUAUCGCAUGCGAAAACACCGCUUCAUCCUGCCAUGGUUACUCUGGAACUAUGUGUGUCUUUGCAUCGCUAUUUUCUGGAUUGUGAUCAUGUUUUCAGUGAUCGCCGCCGCUGGACGAGUCGGUACGGGAUUCAUUAUAGUCGCGAUUGGUGGACUUUUGGCGGCAGUGCAGAAUUACUUUGUCUCCGUGGUGAGAAAUUUCUUCGACGAGUUAAUACGAAGCUCCGUUUAGUAAGUUUUGGGCAGAAAAAAUACUGGAUGAAAUGGUUACAAUGGAUGGGCUGGAUUACUGGAUGAAAUGCUACAAAUUUUGUUUUUACUUACUCUAUACUAUACUAUACUUAAUAUGCUAAAUUUCUUAAGGGUGGCGGGAUUUAUUAAAGUUUGGGACAAAUAUUUAAUAUAAUUAUAAUAUAUCUAUAAUUUAAAAAAAUGUUUUUUGUAUUCUUUGAAUCGGCAUUAGAGAAUAUG